rnacentral:lncRNA from 1 species
CACAUAAAAAAAUUGAGAAAAAAUGUAGUUACAGUUUAUAUGAAAAAUUGCAUUCCACGACAUGGACGUUGUGUCCCUACAAAUUUAGUUGGUGUCAAAUUCUUGUCAUAGGCAGGAUAGGCCCCUAGAAGGAUACUUGUCACGCAGACUGAAAGGUCCUCCAAAUCCUUCAAUGGCCUCGGAGUUAGUGUGACAAUAAAACUUUCGGUGCUUCACAAGUUCCGUGACUAACAGUUAUAUGGAUAUGGUCAACAAAUACAAAGACCUCUCACGUUUACGUAAGCUUGUUCCUGUAUAGGAGGACGAAUCGUUAACUAUACGUGGCCUACUCCAACAGUUGGGAAAGGCGACUUUGUGCACUCUGACGGUUAAGCCAGUUGAUGAUAUAAGUAAUUGAAUAUUGGACAUACUUUAGAAAUGAGCUACCUGUGUAAAACGUGUUCAACUUCGGGAGAGAAUGUAUGGAAAUGAGAGAGCCAAAUUUAU